AAUGAACGCUGGCGGCGUGCUUAACACAUGCAAGUCGUACGAGAAACCCCGGCUUGCCGGGGGAGUAAAGUGGCGCACGGGUGAGUAACGCGUGGGUAAUCUACCCUCGAAUUGGGGAUAACACACCGAAAGGUGUGCUAAUACCGAAUAAGACCACGACCUCCACGGGGGUUGCGGUCAAAGAUGGCCUCUGCUUGCAAGCUGUCGUUUGAGGAUGAGCCCGCGUACCAUUAGCUUGUUGGUGGGGUAAUGGCCUACCAAGGCAACGAUGGUGAGCUGGUGUGAGAGGAUGGCCAGCCACACUGGAACUGGAACACGGUCCAGACUCCUACGGGAGGCAGCAGUGGGGAAUUUUGCGCAAUGGGGGAAACCCUGACGCAGCAACGCCGCGUGAGUGAAGAAGGCCUUCGGGUUGUAAAGCUCUGUCAAGUGGGAAGAACCUUUUUCGGCCGAAUACGCCGAGAAACUGACGGUACCGCUGAAGGAAGCACCGGCUAACUCCGUGCCAGCCGCCGCCGUAA
rnacentral:rRNA from 1 species